UUGCCACGCGCCGGACGGA
rnacentral:misc_RNA from 1 species